rnacentral:rRNA from 1 species
CAGUCGCCGCGGUAAUACGAAGGGUGCAAGCGUUAAUCGGAAUUACUGGGCGUAAAGCGUGCGUAGGCGGUUUGUUAAGUCUGCUGUGAAAUCCCCGGGCUCAACCUGGGAAUGGCAGUGGAUACUGGCAAGCUAGAGUGUGUCAGAGGAUGGUGGAAUUCCCGGUGUAGCGGUGAAAUGCGCAGAGAUCGGGAGGAACAUCAGUGGCGAAGGCGGCCAUCUGGGACAACACUGACGCUGAGGCACGAAAGCGUGGGGAGCAAACAGGAUUAGAUACCCCGGUAGUCCCUGUCUCUUAUAC